UAAAGAACGCCCUUUCUGUUUUCUGCCCACAACUGCUAUAAGAUUUUCUUAUCUUCUUCAAAACAUGUAGAAAGUACAUCCAAAUGCUGCAGAAAAACAUCAGGUUGAAAAUGCAGAAAAGCAUCCUGUGCAACGAAAGAAAUAACUCUGAAAUACAAAGAGGGGAAGACAACAAUGGUGUGUUUAAUUUUUAAGGCAAGUUUGGAGUGCUGUGAAAUGCCUGCAGAGCUGGCAAGAAAAAAGCAUACUCAGUCUCUCAGUUUGUAUUGAUUGAUUGAUUUGAUUUGAUGCCGCCCUUCCAAAAAUGGCACAGGGUAGCCAAUGCUCUUACCCUGAAGACAAAUCUAUUGGAAACACAUUUUUUCUUGCUUGGCAAAAUUUUGAAUUGCUCCUGUAUCUUAUUCCCCACCCCCACAAGUUCUGCUAUGCUGCCUUAUCUUGGCAGGGGUGUUCCUGGGAGGGAUGAUGUGCGAAGUGUGGGAGGUAUACUCCCAGUAGGGCCACCCAACCUGCAUUCUGAAGGUCAUCCCAGCUAAAGCAAGCAGGCACCUAUAUUGGGCAGCAGCAAUAUAGGAAGGUGCUGGAGGCCAGCCGGCACCUUAGUGACAAUGACAAAGACAUCAUUCCACACUGCGGGGGAGAAGGCAACAGUAAACCACUCCUGUAUUUUACCAGGAAAAUCAUAUGGAUAGACAAGGAGCAGUGGUGAAGGUGGUCAGGAACUGGCACCUAUGAAGUACCAAAGCAGCAAAUGAACAUGGAUGAUGCCAGUAGUGCCCUGGAUGUGCAGUUUUGGGAGUGGCCAGACCUGAACAGGCAGGGAGGUUUCUUUUGCUUCCUGUGGAACAUGGAAAGAAGAUGGAGUAGUGGUAAUUAGGCAGCCACACUGCUAAAAUGUUACAUAUUGUUAAACCUUUAGUUUCUUUGAUUACAGAUGAAAUAAAUGUGGUAUAAAAUGGAACACUAGUUUAUGUUUAUCUACAAUUACAAGGAACUAUGAAGACAAAUGAUGAUCUGUUUGGGGAAAAGCAUGUUCUUGUUCUUGAAAAUUAGUUUAUUCCCAUGAAAGUUAGAUGACUGUGUAGGAUUUUGAAUGACACAGAAACAUGAAAUAGCUCUGAAAGCAUUGGUCACACAAACCUUUGGAGAUUUUUUUUUUUAAAGUUACCAGGAAUUGCAAAUUAAUGGGGCAGAAUGAUGAUUAGCAGUAAAAGCAUCUUAAGGGUUGGAUAACUGACUACCCAUGAUGACUUUCUAUUGGAAGAUUAUCAGUGGUGCCAUUCUGACCAGACCUCCGGGCGCAAGUCUGGGUGGCAGCGCCCCACACACUCUGUGGGGGCCCCCUUGCUGCUCAGCACUCCAACCCCGAGUCCCUCC